rnacentral:rRNA from 1 species
ACUCCUACGGGAGGCAGCAGUGGGGAAUUUUGGACAAUGGGCGAAAGCCUGAUCCAGCAAUGCCGCGUGUGUGAAGAAGGCCUUCGGGUUGUAAAGCACUUUUGUCCGGAAAGAAAUCCUUGGCUCUAAUACAGUCGGGGGAUGACGGUACCGGAAGAAUAAGCACCGGCUAACUACGUGCCAGCAGCCGCGGUAAUACGUAGGGUGCGAGCGUUAAUCGGAAUUACUGGGCGUAAAGCGUGCGCAGGCGGUUUGCUAAGACCGAUGUGAAAUCCCCGGGCUCAACCUGGGAACUGCAUUGGUGACUGGCAGGCUAGAGUAUGGCAGAGGGGGGUAGAAUUCCACGUGUAGCAGUGAAAUGCGUAGAGAUGUGGAGGAAUACCGAUGGCGAAGGCAGCCCCCUGGGCCAAUACUGACGCUCAUGCACGAAAGCGUGGGGAGCAAACAGGAUUAGAUACCCGAGUAGUCCCAUG